rnacentral:rRNA from 1 species
GUGAGUAGUUCAGAGUUUGAUCCUGGCUCAGGACGAACGCUGGCGGCGUGCCUAACACAUGCAAGUCGAGCGGAGACAAUUUGGAGCUUGCUUUGAAUUGUUUUAGCGGCGGACGGGUGAGUAACGCGUGAGCAACCUUUCUCUCAGCGGGGAAUAACACCGGGAAACUGGUACUAAUACCGCAUGAGACCACAGUGGGGCAUCCCACAGGGGUCAAAGAUUUAUCACUGAGAGGUGGGCUCGCGUCUGAUUAGAUAGUUGGUGGGGUAACGGCCUACCAAGUCGACGAUCAGUAGCCGACCUGAGAGGGUGAUCGGCCACAUUGGGACUGAGACACGGCCCAA